UACAGAGGUCUCAAGCGUUGUUCGGAUUCAUUGGGCGUAAAGGGUGCGUAGGUGGCGAGGCAAGUCGGAUGUGAAAUCCCGGGGCUUAACCCCGGAACUGCAUUCGAUACCGCCUUGCUCGAGUACUGGAGAGGAGACUGGAAUUUACGGUGUAGCAGUGAAAUGCGUAGAUAUCGUAAGGAAGACCAGUGGCGAAGGCGAGUCUCUGGACAGUUACUGACACUGAGGCACGAAGGCCAGGGGAGCAAACGGG
rnacentral:rRNA from 1 species